rnacentral:lncRNA from 1 species
CCUGAGAAGAUAUUGUUCUUGACAUACGAGGAAAUUAAGAAAGACACCGCUGCUCAUGUUAAGAAACUAGCUGAGUUCAUGGGUUGUUCUUUCACCUUAGAGGAAGAGGAGGAAGGGGAGGUGCAAGAGAUAAUAAGCAUGUGUAGUUUUGAGAAGUUGAGCAACUUGGAGGUGAAUAAAAAUGGGAAGCACCGUCUAGACACAUCAAUUGCUAUUCAAAAUAGUUUAUACUUCAGGAAAGGUGAGAUAGGCGACUGGGCAAAUCACUUGACACCUGAAAUGGGAGCGCGUCUAGAUGACAUAAUGGAGCGGAAGCUCAAGGGUUCAGGCUUGAAGCUGCCCAGGUGACCGUGCCUGGGGUCCCAUUUGCUUAUGAUUAUUGCCGAAGUGGGUUCAUCAAAAGAUGUUAUCAGCAUGUCGUGAAACAGCAACGUGUAUCCCAAUAAAUACCCUCUCUGUUCAUAGCAAGUAUUCACAUUUUGUGAAUCUUCCAUGUGAAUAAGCAAUAUUCUUUUGUGAAUCUGUGUUUGUGACUUUCAUUGAUUUCCUUGCAUGUUUGUAAGAAUUCAAAAUGGGAUUCGUUUUUUUUUUUUUUAACACAAGUGCAUGCAUUCCAUUCAUCAGUUUGAUAAAAAAUAAAUUUACUCUAAUAUAUAAUAUUAGAGUGUUUUCUUCACAGAAAUUGCAGUGUGUUUUUCUUCACAGCUAUACAUGUUUGAAAAGAACCGAGACAGCCAUACAUGAGGGCGGAGCAAAGACCAACCGAGACAACCAUCCAUUAAGAUUGUUGAAUUGCAGAUCAAAUGAACGUAGGAGAACUCGUGUUUUCCACUCCUAAAAUAAGCCCAGUUGCCGGCUUCAUUUGCAACAGAGACACAUAAAGAAUCUGAAAGCAGUUUUUAUGCACUAUCAGCAAAAUAAUUUGACCAGUCAGAAUGAUGUUUUCCCCCUUACUAGGCUCAGAUCACAAUCCUUCUUACUUCAAACAAGUCUUUUGGAACCGAUAUGUCGAGGGAUGGCUUGAUUUAUACCGGAGAUUUUGAUGGAAACUUAAAGAAGCGUGGCUUAAUUAUACCUUGGAUGCGCAAAUUGAUUACAGGGAAAAAAUGACAGAAAGUGAGUUGCAGGGAAUGAAAAAGGCAUUAGUAAACUCAACACCUUUCAGGGCAUCGUUCCUUGGUUUACUCCCUUCUAUUUCUUAUUUUGUUUUUCCUGCCAUUGUCUAAUGUUUUUCUAACUCGCAGUCUGGUCUCUGCAGAGAAUGAGAAAGCAAAAACUCUUUAAGAGAAGAUAUUCUCCGGCGAUGGCAUCAACUAAGUGCGUGUUUGGCGCUCCGGCUAUGUUUACAGAAAAAACAUCGUGGUCAUGUUUUUGGUUACAGUCUAAACAUAAUUAUCUGUUUGUGGACCCGUUAUCAUUUGCUUUUAAACCGCAAGAUAACCAAAAACAACUUCAAGCUGCCUUCUGUGUUGAGUUGCAAACUUUAUAAACAAAGGCCACAAGAAAAAGAGCAGAAACAUAGCAGUGAAUAAUGAACAGUGGAGAGCAGCUCCCUCUGACCACCGGCAUCCGCCGUUUUCACCGCCAACCACUGCUCAUCCUCUUCCCCUUCUCUUUCUCCUUCUUCUUUGUCUUCUGCAUUGUCCACUGUUCACGUUGCAUGUGAACAGUGGAGAGCAGCUCACCACCGGCCUCCGCUGUUUCUACCGCCAGUCACUGCUCUUCCUCUUCCCCUUCCCCUUCCCCUUCUUCUUCUACAUUCUCCACUGUUCACGUGAACAGUGGAGAGCGUCUCCACUAUUCAUGGCCGGAUUGGGUCUGGCCCAAACCUAAAUGCAUUGGACCGGGUCCAACCUAAAUGCAUUGGACCGGGUCCAAUCAAGUAAAAUAAAAAAAUCUAAAAAUAUUUCUUAGAUAUUGUGUUUUAUUUGAAAAACUAGUGUUUAAAAUUAUUCAAUGACACUACAUAAUUAUAUUAGAAGGAGAUCGCAUGAUGACGUAGCAUUUGCAGAAUUUGAUUGCAAUCCCAAUUUUAUUCCUAAUGAUAUUUUACCUGAUGUGAUGAUAUUUUACCUGAUGUUGGUGCACGUUCAAGAAGCCAUGAAAACUGUAGUUUUUGUCGGAUGGAUUUCGUACGUGAUUGAAUUGCAAAUAAUUUAAUGAAACAAUAAAAAAUACUUUAUAUAAAGUAUUAUUUAUUUCAUGAUGUAAUAGCAGUAGUUAAAUCUAUAAUAUUCCAAUUAAAAACCAUCAAUAUUAAUAUAUAUAUGUUUUUUUUAAUUAUUUUAUAACCUCAAUUUGAAAAACAUUCUUUAAACCAAACACAUUAAACUACUUUUUGUUCAACCUCAAUUUCAACCACAAUUUUAACCAAAUAUAUAUUUUUUCAAAUCAACCUCAACUAAAAAUACUUUGUAUAAAACAACUUUUUUAAACUACAAUCAUAACAGGUAUCACAAUACCAAAGACACACAAAGCUGUACUGAUAAGCAAGUUAAAGUGCCACCAUUGAUUUAGGAUCUGCUUUAUAUCUUAUAAGGUGAAAGUAAAACACAAGGAAAUGCAUGCAUGCACACCACUAAUCUUUGAUUCUGGCGAGAACAGUGAUGACUACACACACAACCAUAUAGAAUUACAUUCCAAGAUGAAGAAAUUAAUAACAGAGCAGUGCUAUAAAGCUAAAUGGGAGAACCAGAGAUUAAUAAGCAAUGCUGAAAAUUUUAUCAUGCAUAAGAUGAGAGAAGCAUAGGACAUAUUUUAUCAAAUCUAUAGUUUUUCUUUAAUAAUAAUAAUAUUUUUAAAAAAUUUAAUAAUAAUAAUAAUAAUAAUAAAAACUCAUGUUCUUUGAUUCUGACUUCCCUUACCAGACUGAAGUUACCACAGUCAGACCCAAGUAACUUAGGUGUGACGCUCCUGUUAGACUCAAGUUAUUUGGGUAUGAUAUCUCAUGCUGGACUCAUAGUAUUCAAGAUCAAAGGUGUUGAUAUCUAACAAUCAUACCUCACCCAAGCCCUAAGAUGUGAUUGCUUUUCUAGACCAGAGCGCAAGGCACCAAGACACUAAGAUACUAUUCACCAUAAGUCAAGUCAAUGAACCAAUUAAUUGAUUUUAAAGAUCAAGUUUUUUUUUUAAAUAGAGAAACAAAACUUUUAUUAACAUUGAAAUAACUCCUAAAAUUUUAAUAAAAUUAAUUUGAAGUAAAAAUAAUAUUAGAAAAAUAUUUAGAAGCACUUUUUUAUUGUAAAAUCAAACACACUAAAAUCAUGUAGAUUUUCAUUUAGACACUAAAAUUCAAGAAGAAAUUAAGUUCACACAGUACUAUUAAUUCAAUCGAUGAAGGAUUAGUCCCAACUACUUUAGGGCCACCAUUGACAUUGAUUACUUUGAAUAAUUUUAAUUUAUAGGCAUAAAAAAUUAAUACAUAUCUUUAAGAGGAUCAAUUUUAGAUUCUCUCUCUCUCUCUCUCUAUUUUUUUUUUGGUUUUCAAAUAUUUGACAUUUUCGUUUAGAUAAGCUCUAGUGUGUGUUUUUUUUAGAUUAUUUUAAAUCAUGUUUCUUGAAAUGUCAAAAACAUUUCAUGGAUUAAUUUAACUUAAUAACGCCAAAGAAUUAGGAAUUAAAACUGAUAAUUUCCACCAAGUAAGAGUACCUAAUUGAAAAUUUACUUUCUUAUCAUUUACCUCAAUUAAGCGGAAGCAUGAUCAUGAGAAGGGAUUUGGGAGGCACUUAGAUUAGGCUCUUCUCUAGUCUUGAGAAGCAGAACCAAUAGAGACGUGAUUGCGCACUCCCUGAGCUAUAUAGUAAGUGGCUGCAAACAAAUUGUCAGCACCAAUUCAGGUCCGGAAAAUUAAAGCAUUGAAGCAUAAAAGGUGACCUAACCUGAUUAAGCAAAUUACUACUUAUUCCAGCAUCACCUAGGAGUGAGACAGCCAGCCCUCCAGUGUCUACAUGGUAUGGGAAUAAUUCCUUCAAGAACGCAGAGAAAAUUAUACUUGCAAUACAACUAUAAACGAGAUGGUACAGUGCGGAAGGCUAUAAACGAGAUGGUACAGUGUGGAAGGCAAGAUGUUAAAUAUGAUCAGGACAAAAAAAUAAAUAAAGAAAGAAAGAGUGUUUAUUUCACAAUGAUCGAUAUGAUGCUUCUUUCCAUGUGGAAUCUUCGUCAAAGACUUGUUGAAAAUGCCAAAUUGUGAUCCACUUUUGGCUGUGUCAAAUGCAUGGGUGGGGUUUCACACAGAGCUAUUACCCCUUGUGUAAACUCAACGCCAGUUUUCAUGAGUUCUUUGGGAUUCUAACAUAGUAAAAAAAAAUGAUAAAAUAACGAAGUGUAAAGAAUAUGUAGUGAAAUAGAUAUUUGUAAUUAAUCAGUUGCAAUUAUUAUAUGCUCGCUCUCUCAGAUUUACUGGACAGAAGAUUUAUUAAAAAGAGAUGAGAAAAUAAUUAAAAGAGAAAGAAAAGAAAAAAAAAACUUCAAGGUAUAUCAAAACUCUGAUAAUAAUAUUAUUGGUAUUGUUGAAACAAAUCUAAAAAUAUCAAUAAAGAUCACCAAUAAUGAUCAUAGUAGGUCAUACGAGUGACCGAGAUAAAUGAGUCUCAAUACUUUUAAACAGCUCGUAUAAUCUAUUUUAUUUAUUAUUUAUUUUUUUUUAUGUUGUUAAAUUCAUCUUAUAAUGAUGCCGAUAAUGUUAUCAUUAUAAUUUCAAUGUAUUUCUAUUAUUAUUAUUUUUUGUUUUGCUCUCUCUCCUCUCUUUCCUUAUAAUUUAUGAAGAGUUAGAGAGGGGAAAAAAAAACCCUAGUCUUCCACUUUAAUCUGGCUGAAUACUAUAUUUUUCCUUAAUUAUUCACUACUUUGUCAAUGCAAACUAUAUUUUUCCUUAAAUAAGAUCUAAUCCACCAGCGGAUAGGUGAUCAAGAAUAUUAAAUUAGUGUAAAACUUGAUUUAAUUCAACAUUAUAAAUUCGAGGUGCUAUAAUAAUGUGAAAAAAAAGAAUAAAAAAACUAGAUUCAUCAUCAUCAUUAUUAUAUUAGUAUAAUAAUGUUUGUCACUUUGUUGUAUUAUUUUUUAAUUGUUUAGUUGUUUACUAUAUGUUAAAAUUUCAAGAUCUUCAAAGAUUGGUAAGAUCUUAAGGAUCUAGAGUUACUAUGGGACCGUCUUUAUUUUCCUAUUUGGAUUUUUUUUAUUUAUAUUAAGAAUUUAAAUUUAAUUAGUAUUUUAUUAUUUAAAAAUUCUAACGGUAAAUUGAUUCUAUUAGUCAGGCUAAUUUUAAGUAUAAAUUAUUUUUUUAUACAAAAUUUUAAAUUUAGAAUUAAUAUAAAUAAAAAUGUUUAGUUUAUUUUUUAAAGUGUUUUUGUUUAAAAAUACAUCAAAAUAAUAUAUUUUUAAAUUUUUUUUAUUAUUCAUCUUUUACAUCAAAACAUUUAAAAAACAUAAAAAAAAACAAUUAGAAAACGCAAGAUUGCAUCAAUGCUAAAUGCAAUCUCUCUCUCUCUCUCUCUCUCUCUCUCUCUCUCACACACACACACACACACACACACACACACACACACACGAUCCACCUCUGGUGUCAAAUGCAUAGUGAUGUUCCACAGCGAGCCACUAUCUAUUAUGUAAAAUCUCAACAAGUGAGAAAUGUCAUAGAUCAUUUGGUCUAAUUUACGGGGACAGAGUUGUGGAGUUGGGGGCUGUAAAUAUUCCUCAAAAGAUCGAGUCUUAAGGUCUCGGAACUAUUAUAUGACGGGGGAUAAAAAAACAAAUACUACGAGGGUCGAAAUAAAUAUUUUUUACUGGUUGAUGGUAUCCACAAAUGCUACGAGCAAUAAUAAAAUUUUUUGGAUUGAAUAAUCAGUUAAUUAAUUAGUUUUAAUAAUUUUUUUUAUUUUUCUUAACUAAAGUGGUUAAAAGCGCUUAUAUUUAUCAUUGAUAGGUCAAAGCUACUCGUUAAUACAUUUAAAAGAUUUUUUUUGAUGGAGGUAAAGACUUUCCGAUAUUUAAAUAAAUAAUUUUUUAGAAAGAAAAAAUAAAUGAAUAUUCUAUAGAGAGAUACUCUGAAAAUACAAAUGCACAAGAGAAUUGGAGAUUGUGAACCUUUGUUCUGAAGAUUUUAUGAUGUAUUUAUAACUUAUAAGUUUUGUCCUUUUGUGAAAAUAAGGGUUUGGAGUGUAAUUACCCUGAUAACAUUUAAUGAGGAAUAAAUAUCCCUUGCAUAAUGGGAAUAUGGUGGGUCCUCGAAUGGUUUUUAUACACCUAAAAAGCUAUAGGGAGAUUAGAGUUUAAGACGUCAAGUGUAGCUGAGCCUAUAGAGAUCAAGUUCUUUCCUGAGAUUAGAUCGAAGAGAGGUUGGUCAUUCUCCUAGAUAUGCCAAUGGAGAAUGAUCAAUAUUUUGGACUUGGUUGGCUGCAAAAUCCAAGUACCUUGAGCCUGAUAUGCGUGUCAAAUCCACCCUAUCUUGAAAUUGGAGCACUACCAAGUCCUAGCGCCUUGGAUCUGACAUGCAUGCCAGAUCCAUGCUACGUUGGACUUGGUGCACUAUCAAGUCCAAACACCUUGGGUCUAGUGUGCGUGUUAGACCCACAUUAUAUUGGGUUUGACGCAUUACUAUACAUGUCCAAGCACCUUGAACUUGAUUGAUUGUCAAGUCCAUGCAUUAUAGAUUUGAUAUAUGUGUCAGAUCCAUAUUACCUUAAGCUUGACGCACUAUUAAGUUAAAGUGUCUUGAAUUUAGAAUUUCUCAGGAUCCAUAAAUUUUAAAGAACCAAACAAAAACUAAAUAAAAAAUUGACUCAUCACUAAUCUAUAAAUACUAUCUACAUAAUGGCCUUAGUUGAUAACUUCUACCACCCACUGCACUUACUUCAAUAAUGAAAAAUAUUUUUUCCUUUUAAUGGAAAAGACAUUUUAACUCCAUCUUCAAUUACUUUACAUAAAUGUUUCCUUCUUUUUUAGAUAUUGGGUUUAGAAAACACAAUCAUGCUAAAAAUUUAUUAUCAACUAUAAAAUGUAUUUUUUUUAUAUUUUAUAUAUAUUUUUUAAUUAUUUUUUAUAUUUUCAUAUUGUUUUGAUGUGCUAAUAUUAAAAUUAAAUUUUUAAAAAUAAAAAAUAUUAUUUUAAUAUAUUUUUAAAUUAAAAAUAUUUUAAAAAAUAACCGCUAACACAAUAACAAACAAGAUUUAAAUAAAAAAAAUUAUAAUUACAUCAGCAAUCAAGAAUACUAAAAUAGUGUAAAUUUUGACUUAAUUCAAUUAUGAGAAUUGGGGGCAGCGUAACAAUUUGAAAUAAAAUGGCAGAAAAGGAGGGCAAACAGUACAAAUACCUUGAAUAAUGGUGACCAAAUAUUUGUAAUUUGAGACAUCUCGUUCUCGCAAGGAAAUAGUUAAGAGUGCCAAUAAUUAAUCUGCUCUCAACUUGCUUCAAAUAGCUGCCAUGUCCACAUAUUCAAGAAACAAAUAUUUCCACUAAAGGUUUAUAUGGUCGUUAAUUUCAGGAUCUGUGGGAUUAGUCGAGCUGCGCGCAAGCUAACCCGAACACCCACAUUAAACUAAAAAAAAAAAUAUUUUUUACUAGUCUAGAAAUGCUAUCUCCUAAAUUGUUUAUUGUUCUAUGAUUCAACCAUCCUGUUUUUUAUAAAAAUAUUGAUUUUUUCAUAAAUUUUUUUAGUAUUUUUAAAUUAUUUUAAUGUAUAAAUAUAAAAAUAAUUUUUAAAAACUUUAUUUUAAUAUAUAUAUUUUAAAAAUUUCUUUAAAAAAUAAUUAUCACCGCAUUUCCAAACUUCACAUCCCUGUAUUAAUGGAUUGUGUUGUCCCUGUAUUAAUGGAUUGUGUUGUGGGCUCCACGCCAUUUAAAGCUUGUGAGAGAAACUACACCUAUAAACUGAAACCACACGAUAACACUAAAGAUUUGCUAAUUCGGGAGUGUUUGUUUUUAUAUAUAAAAGUAUUUUUAAAAAAAGUUAAUUUUUUAAAAUUAAUUUUUUAAUAGUUUUAUAUUAUUUUAAUGUAUUAAUAUUAAAAAUAAUUUUUAAAAUAUAAAUUUUUUAUUUAAUAUAUUUUUUUUAAAAUAUAAAAAUACUCUUGAAAACAGCGGUUAUAAAAUACUCUUAAAAAAUAAAUAAAAAUACUCUUGAAAACAGCGGCUAUAACCUUCCCAAACUUCACAUCCCCAAAUUAUUAAGAGGCCGUUUGUUUGCGUGGUUGCUUCUGCGUUUGAAGCAACCACAGCAAACAUAAUGUUUGGUAAUAUUAAAAAUGCUAAAAAUGACCGGUGGGACCCAUGCCAAUUCACGUUUUGAACGCGACAUUGGUGAAGCAGCUCGUGACUGCUUUUUUAAAUUUUGUAUUUGCGUGCACAGUGCAAUUCACUUGCACUGUGCACGCCAACAGUGUAAUUCACUUGCAUUGUUCGGGUGAUUUUUUUUAUUUUUUUAUUUAGUGUGUAUAGUUUUUUUAUAUAUAUUUUUUAAAAAAACUAGUUUUACAUUGUCAUGUAAACAAUAUUUUUUUUCCCGAAAAACUAGUAUAGAGCGAAUUAAAUUCACUCGCACUGUAAUAUCAAAUUAAUUUUAUUCCUAAUAAUAUUUUAUCUAAUUUUAUUGCAUGCUCAAAAAAUUAUAGAAACUGUAGUUCUUGUCGAAUGAAUUUUGUACGUAAUGGAAUUGUAGAUGGUUUAAUGGCAUAAUAAAAAAUAUUUUAUAUAAAGUAUUAUUUAUUUCAUGAAGUAAUAGUAAUAGUUAAAUCUACAAUAUUUAAAUUAAAAAUCAUCAAUUUUAAUAUAUAUUUUUUAAAAUUAUUUUAUAACUUUAAUUUCAAAAGCAUUCUUAACCAAACAUAUUAAACUACUUUUUAUUUAACCUCAAUUUCAACCACAAUUUUAACCAAACACCUAUUUUUUCAAACCAACCUCAAUUAAAAGUACUUUUUAUAAAAUAACUUUUUUCAAACCACAACUACAACAGCUACAGCAAUACCAAACACACUCUAAAUUGCAGACGUUUGGCAGUGUGUUCAAAAACAUAUUUUUAAAAAAAAUUGAUUUUUUUUAUUUUAAAUUAAUAUAUUUUUAAUAUUUUUAAAUUAUUUUGAUGUAAAUCUUAAAAAUAAUUUUUAAAAACUAAAAAAAUAUUAUUAACAUAUUUUUUUAAAUAAAAAAUAUUUUAAAAAAUAACCUCAGCUAUUCACACACAGCCGGAAAGAAGAGAAACCACACAAUCACGCUAAAGAUUUGCUAUCGAAUAUAAUAUGACAUAAAACCCAAUUGCAUCAGCGGGCAUGUGAUCAAUAAUAUUAAAAUAAGGUAAUAGUUGAUGGGGCCACAAAUUAAACCAGCUCUCAACUCGCUACAAAUAGCUGCAAUGGCCUUUCAUUCUACGUUAUAUUUUCAUUUUUUACUUUCAUGGAAUCCUCUUUGCCUUCCACCCAAAUCUUGGAUUCUGGUGACAGUGCAGAGAGGAAAAAUGAAGCUAAAAAUUACAAUGAAGUGAUGUCCACCUUUCCGAAAGUUAAAGGCUUGAAUGGGUAUGAUUAUUACCUGUACCAAGGCUUUUGGUACGCUCCCUUCUUCUUGGAAGGACUCAUGUCUGUUCAAGAGGGCUUCAAUCCUCAAUCCACUGAUAUAUUUGUCGCCAGUUUUCCAAAAACUGGCACAACUUGGCUUAAGGCCCUCACUUUUGCUAUUGUCACACGAUCCCGUUUAAGUGGUUCAACAACUAGUUCUUUACUUACCAAGAUGCCACAUGACUGUGUUCCUUUUUUGGAAUAUGACCUUGCUCAAAACCCCAGUAAUCGGGACUUGGCAAUUCCUCUGGUAUCUACUCAUGUUCCUUACACUUGUUUACCUAAAUCUAUCAUUUCUUCUAGUUGCAAGAUUAUUUACAUUUGCAGGGACGCAAAGGAUGCUUUUGUUUCUUUGUGGUACUUUCUUGCCAGGCUGCAAAUGUCGAAAAAUGUUGAACCUCUUCCUCUGGAAGGGGCAUUUGAGUUGUUUUGCAAUGGAAUUGCAAAUUUUGGACCAUAUUGGGACCAUGUUUUAGGGUAUUGGAGAGCAAGCUUCGAGUUCCCUGAGAAGAUAUUGUUCUUGACAUAUGAGGAAAUGAAGCAAGACACAGCUGCUCAUGUUAAGAAAUUAGCUGAGUUCAUGGGUUGUUCUUUCACCUUAGAGGAAGAGGAGGGAGGGGAGGUGCAAAAGAUAAUAAGCAUGUGUAGUUUUGAGAAGUUGAGCAGCUUGGAGGUCAAUAAAAAUGGGAAGCACCGUCCGGACACAUCACUUGCUAUUCAAAACAGUGUAUACUUCAGGAGAGGUGAGAUAGGCGACUGGGCAAAUCACUUGACACCUGAAAUGGGAGCACGUCUAGAUGACAUAAUGGAGCAGAAACUCAAGGGUUCAGGCUUGAAGCUGCCCAGGUGACUGUGCCUAGGGUCCCAUUUGCUUAUGAUUAUUGCCCAAGCGGGUUCAUCAAAAGCUGUUAUCAACAUCUCGUGAAACAGAAACUGUGUAUCCCAAUAAAUACCCUCUUUGUUCAUCUCUUGUAUUUCCUAUCAAGUAUUCACAUUUUGUGAAUCAUCCAUGUCAAUAAGCAAUGUUCUUUUGUGAAUCUGUGUUUGUGACUUUCAUUGAUUUCCUUGCAUGCUUGUAAGAAUUCAAAAUGGGAUUCGUUUUUUUAUUUAUUUAUUUAACACAAGUGCAUGCAUUCCAUUAAUCAGUUGGAUAAAAAAUAAAUUUACUCUAAUAUAUAAUAUUAGAGUGUUUUCUUCACAGAAAUUGCAGUGUGUUUUCUUCACAGUUAUACAUGUUUUAAAAGAACCGAGACAACCCAUACAUGAGGGCGGAGCAAAGACCAACCGAGACAACCAUCCAUUAAGAUUGUUGAAUUGCAGAUCAAAUGAACGUAGGCGGCACAUCUGCUGGAAGGAUCUCGAAAUGCCUUGUAAUUGGUUAAAAUAAAGAUCAAGAUCUGUAGGAGAACUCGUGUUUUCCACUCCUAAAAUAAGCCCAGUUGCCGGCUUCAUGUGCAACAGAGGCACAUAGAGAAUCUGAAAGCAGUUUUUAUGCACUAUCAGCAGAAUAAUUUGAUCAGUCAGAAUGAAAACCCCCCCCCCCAGGCUCACAAAUCUUCUUACUUCAAACAAAUCUUUUGGAACCGAUAUAUAUGUCGAGUGAUGGCUUGAUUUAUACCGGAGAUUGUGUUGGAAAAUUAAAGAAGCAUGGCUUAAUUUGUACCUUGGAUGCGCAAAUUGAUUACAGGGAAAAAAUGACAGAAAGUGAGUUGCAGGGAAUGAAAAAGGCAUUAGUAAACUCAACACCUUUCAGGGUAUCGUUCCUUGGUUUGCUCCCUUUUAUUUCUUAUUUUGUUUUUCCUGCCAUUGUCUAAUGUUUUUCUAACUCGCAGUCUGGUCUCUGCAGAGAAUGAGAAAGCACAAACUCUUUAAGAGAAGAUAUUCUCCGGCAAUGGCAUCAAACAGAAAAGUCCGACGUCAACUAAGUGAGUGUAUAGCGUUGCUGCUGUGUUUACAGAAAAACACCAUUGUCAUGUGUUUGGUUACGGUCUAAACAUAAUUUUUUAUCGGUGAGACCCAUUACCAUUUGCAUUUAAACCGCAAGAUAACCAGAAGCAACUUUAAGCUGCGUUUUGUUUUGAGUUGCAAAUUGUGUUAUAAAUAGAGGCCACAAGAAAAAGAGCAGAAACAGAGCAGUGAAUAGUGAUUAGUGGAGAGCAACUCCCUCUCACCACUGACCUCCGCCAGCCACUGCUUUUUCUCUUCUCCUUCUCUUCUCGUUCUCCUUCGUCUUCUGCAUUCUCUACUGUUCACGUGAACAAUGGAGAGUGGAGAGCAGCUCACCAUCAACCCCUGCUGUUUCCACCGCCAGCCACUGCUCUUCCUCUUCCCCUUCUCCUUCGUCUUUUACGUUCUCCACUGUUAAUGUGAACAGUGGAGAGCAGCUCACCACCGGCCUUCACUAUUUCCACUGCCAGCCACUGCUCUUCCUCUUCCCCUUCCCCUUCUCCUUCCCCUUCUCCUUCUCAUUCAUCUUCUGCAUUCUCCACUGUUCAUGGCCGGACUGGGCCUAGCCCAAACCUAAAUGUAUUUGACUGGGUCCGACCCAGUAAAAUAAAAAAAAAUCCAAAUUUUUUUUCUUAAAUAUUGUGUUUUAUUUGAAAAACUAGUGUUUAAAAUUAUUCAAUGACACUACAUAAUUAUAUUAGAAGGAGAUCGCACGAUGACGUAGCAUGUGCAGAAUUUGAUUGCAAUCCUAAUUUUUUUCCUAAUGAUAUUUUACAUGAUGUAAUGAUAUCUUACCUGAUGUUGGUGCAAGUUCAGGAAGCCAUGGAAACUGUAGUUCUUGUCGGAUGGAUUUCGUAUAUGAUUGAAUUGCAAAUAGUUUAAUGGAACAAUAAAAAAUACUUUAUAUAAAGUAUUGUUUAUUUCAUGAUGUAAUAGCAGUAGUUAAAUCUAUAAUAUUUCAAUUAAAAACCAUCAAUAUUAAUAUAUGUCUUUUUUAGUUAUUUUAUAACCUCAAUUUGAAAAGUAUUCUUUAACCAAACACAUUAAACUACUUUUUGUUCAACCUCAAUUUCAACCACAGUUUUAACCAAACAUAUAUUUUUCCAAACUAAUCUAAACUAAAAGUAUUUUUUAUAAAAACAAUUUUUUUCAAACCACAACAGCUACCACAAUACCAAACACACACAAAAAAAACUGUACUGAUAAGUAAGUUACAAUGCCACCACUGAUUUAGGAUCUGCUUUAGAUCUUAUAAGGUGAAAGUUGAAAGCUAGCAAGAAUCGUCACAGAGAUGAACAGAGAAGUGAAUAGAAUUAGAGGGAGAUACUGCAAUGCAGAGGAAGAAGAAAAACAUUUCUGUGUAUAUUCACUUAUAUUUUUUUACCAGCGCUGUUACAUUCAUUUUAUAUGAACCAAGAUGAGAAGCUUGUUUACGUAAUCUAAUCAACAGUAACAGACUUUGUUAACUGUCUAACAAUAUUAACAAACUUUCUAACCAUUGUAUUCUCUAUUCUCUUGACAGGUGGCAGAAGCAGAGCCUUUGAUAUCUUGACAUUCCCCCUCAAUCACAAGCGUGAAGGAACCAAGCAUAAGAUUGGAACAGUGACGCCGAAAUAAAGGAGUGGAAAGACCUUUAGUUAGGAUAUUAGCAAAUUGAUCGGUAGAAGAGACAUGUUGAACCAACAAAUCACCUUUGACAACACGUUCUCAAACAAAAUGAUAAUCAAUUUGGAGAUGCUUCAUUCUGGAAUGGAAGACUGGAUUGGAAGCAAGGGAAAUAGUUGAGAUAUUGUCAUAAUGAAUUAACGGAGGGAUAUGUAAAGGAAUGUGAAUGUCACAGAGCAGUUGGCGAAUCCAGGCAAGUUUGGCAGCAGCAAUUGCUAGAGCCCGAUACUCAACCUCAGUAGAUGAUCGAGAAACAAUAUGUUGUUUCUUAGAAGCCCAAGAAAUAGGACUGGAGCCGAGGAAAACAAUAGAGCCAGAGACAGAACGUCGAUCAUUGGGAUCGCCAACCCAGUCAGCAUCACUAUAAGCUUGUCGAUUAAGAAGACUAGGCUGAAAAUGAAGGCCAAAAUCAAGGGUACCUUUAAGAUACCGCAAGAUUCUUUUGACAGCCACAACAUAAGAAUGCAUGGGAUUAUGCAUAAAUUGACAAGCUCGGUUCAUAGAGAAAGCAAUAUCGAGCCUGGUGAACGUGAGAUACUGCAAUGCGCCAACUAUGCUCCGAUAUUGUUGUGGAUGAGAGUAGGCUUAGCCAUCAUCUUUGAGCAAAUGAUGAUGAGGAAGACAAGAAGUAUCAAAUGAUUUGGAAUUUUGUAAAUCAACUCUAGCAAGUAAGUCUGUGAUAUAACUUAUCUAGGACACAAACAAACCAGAAGGGAGAUAAGAGAUUUGCAAUCCCAAAAAAUAAUUCAACUUACCGGUAUCCUUCAUAUCAAAUUUCUGAGUCAAGGCAGCAAUGACUGAAGAAAGAAGAGAAUAAUGACUGCUAGUAAGAAUGAUAUCAUCUAAAUAGAGUAGCAAUAUCACAACACUAAGAGAAGAAUGCUGAACAAACAAAGAGGGAUCGACAAGAGAUGCUUGAAACCCCAAACAUGGUAAAAAAACUGGUAAAACGUUCAUUCCAGGCACGAGGAGCCUGUUUAAGGCCAUACAAGGACUUUCUUAGUCUGCAAACAAAGUUAGCAGGAUAAAGCUUACUCAUAAAACCUUGGGGUUGAGUCAUAUAAACCUCCUCAUGAAGAAUACCAUGCAAAAAGGCAUUGGUAACGUCAAGCUACCGUAAGGACCAGUUAAACUGAGCUGCAAGAGUAAGAAUUAAACGAACCAUAGUAGGUUUUAUGACAGGACUGAAAGUUUCAUUAUAGUCAAUUCCUUCCUCUUGAAUGAAACCCUUAGCCACCAAUCGAGCUUUAUGCCUAGCUAUAGAACCAUCCGCAUGCUUCUUGAGUCGGUAGACCCAUUUACAGCCAACAAGAUUCUUAGCAGGUGGGAGAGGCACCAAAUCCUAAGUACCUUAUGCAUGAAGAGCAUCAAUUUCCUCCCACAUAGCAGACUGCCAUUCUGGAAAGGUUGAAGCAGCCUUGAAGGAACUGGGUUCAACCUGAGAAAAAGCAACAGACUAUACAGAGGUAAAGUAAGCCUUUCUUUUGGAAAUACCAUUCUUAAACCUGAUGGUCAUUGGAUGAAGAUUCAUCGGUGAAAGAGGUAAGACCACACACAGAUUCUCAGGUUGGAAGUCAGGAUCAAAUCUAGUGACAAAGAAGCGAUUGGUUUGAAUAAAAAAACAGAAAUACCCUUUAUACUGACCAGCAUACCCCAGAAAAAUACAAGUGGAAGUUUUGGGCUGAAGUUUGUUAGUAUUAUAAGGCUUGAGUAAAGGAAAACAAGCACAACCAAAAAUCCACAAAUGAGUAAUGACCAGUGGAGAACCAUAUAACAGGAAAUAAGGUGAUUUGAGUUGAAGAAUUUGACAGGGCAUUCUAUUAAUCAAAUAAAUAGAAGUAGCACAAGCACGAAACCAAAAUUUUGGAGGUAAAUGGGCAGUUUGUAACAGAGUGAUGGCUGUUUCUAAAAUAUACCUAUGUUUGCGCUCAGCAAGGCCAUUCUGUUUCGGAGUAUAGGGACAGGACAUUUGAUGGACAAUACCCUUGGUAAAGAGGUAAUGUUUGAAUUUAGUACUAAGAUACUCACCACCCCCAUCACUUUGAAAGACUCGAAGAGUAGCAGAAAAUUGAGCAACUAAAAAGGUAUGAAAGUAGGCAAAAAUGGAAUAAACCUCUCCUUUAUUGAUCAUCAGAAAAAACCAAGUAAAUCGAGUACAUUCAUCAAUGAAACUAACAUAAUAUCUGAAACCUUCAACAGAUACAGUGGGAGAAGAACCCCAAACAUCACUAUGUAUGACCUCUCAAGGUUUAACAAAUUUAACUGCGGGAUAGGGAAAAGGAAGUUUAGCAAGUUUACCCUCUAAAAAAGUGGUACAAACGAAUUUGGAUGUGUUUGAAGUGAAAGAAAUCUGGGAUUGAUUUAACAGAGUAGAGGUGACUAUGUUAGAGGGAUGACCAAAACGCUUGUGCCAGAGACUUGUGUUGACCUGUUUACCAAGAUAGCAAACUUGAUUAUUUUGAAAGAGAGAUUAUGAAGGAAACGAAAUGGAGAAAGGAAUAGGAUAUAACCCAGCUCUACACAGUCCCUUGAGAAGGACAUUUCCCAUGAAUUUGUCCUGAAUCCAAAAACCAAAAUCAUCACAAAUAAAUCGACAGUUGUUAUCUUUACACAACUUAUGAACCGAUAAUAAGUGUUGAGAUAGCUUAGGCACAUGCAAAACUUGCUUUAAUUGUAAUGAGCAUUGAUGAACAUCUAAAAUAAAAGAACCAAUAUUAGAAAUGGUCAAACUUGAACCUCCUGUAGUGGUAACAGUAUCAGAUCCUGAGAAAGGUGUAGCCAGAUUGAGUUGAGCCAAAUCAGAAGUCAUAUGUGUUGUGGUGCCAUUAUCAGCCAGCCAUAAUUGUUCAGGAGGGGAAGAAGAUGGAAAAUUGGCAUGCAUAGCACUAAGAUUACUGGAGGGAGGCCUGCCUUGAUAGCUGAAAUUACCUCUAUGAUAACAUUGAACGGCAGAGUGCCCAAAUUUUCAACAAAUUUGACAUUGAAUGGAAGUGGCAAAAGUACUUAGCAGAGUGUGGCGUUGAUAACAAUUAGCAGCUACAUGACCUUUUUUAGUACAAAUUUGACAUGUAGGAAUGUCAAUGCCAGAACCAAGAAUGCCAGGAUUAGAAGUAGGUGGAACCUAAUAAGGGCGUGGACUAGAUUGAUAAUGAUUACGUCCUCUGCCAUAACCCUUAAAAUUAAACCCCUGAUUGCCAAAGUAUCCUCCAGUAGAACCAUGAAAGCUACUGUGAUGACCAUUAAAUCCUCCAUUGAAACCAGAAGGAAAUUAAGAUGGUGGAGCAGACUUGGAGCUAGAAGGAUGAGAAUUAGAGUUACCUUUAUCAAGAGCAAGAGCCUUGCCAGGAGAUAUUUGAUGUUGAGCCAUCACUGCAGGAACAAACAGGGAAGCAGAAUAAGUUUGCUCAAGAAUGGCUUCUUCAGCUAGCAAUUGAGACCGAAAAUCUUUAAGGGAUAACACGUUGUCUCGGUCGCGAACAAUACACCUAAAGGUGUUAUAAUUAGAAGGAAGACCAUUGAGAGCCAAGAUUACAAUAUCAUCAUCUUCAAAAUAAACCCCUGCUACAGAAAGAUGGUCUCGAGCAUCUUUGAUCUUUUACAGAUAUUGAGACACAGAAUCUGAGCCCUUCUUGAUGGUUUGAAGCUCACUUUUCAUCUGAAAAAUAUGUGCCUUAGUAAUUGUGGAAAAUCUAUUCUUCAGUUGAAUCCACAUGUCAUGAGAGCUAACACAUUCAAUAACAUAGGAGAUUGCAGUUGAUGAGAGAGUAGCAAUAAUCAACUGCAUCAAUGUCCGGUCAUACAUUUUCCAAACCUGAUGAUCAUCAGUUUCAACACAUUCAAGGUCAGCAUCUGCAUCAAACCGAUUUGGACACUUUCUUGAUCCAUCAACAAAUCCUAAAAUACCAUAACUCUCAAGUAGAAUAUGCAUAUGAAAAUUCCAGAUGAGAUAAUUUGUGUCAUCCAGCUUGACUGUUACAGCUGUUGAAACUGUAGGAAGUAAACAGGUAAUAGGAGAUUGAACAAUUUAAAGUUGAGAAGUAGUCACCAUUUUAGAGUUCAAGAGAUAGCGAGGAAGAGAAUCACAUACGAUAGGCAUAGUCCCAGAUUUGAGAAGAGAGUUGAAGAAGAAUUUUUCAGUUUGACAAUAUAUCAAAUAGAUGAUAGGUAGAUCAAUUAUUAUGAAAGAAUUGGUUGAUUAAGGCGAUAAUAAUACCAGAAACAGAGAGUAGCAAGAUAUUAGAAGCAGAGAAAUCACAGGAUCACAAGAUAAUAACAAUCCUAAGCUCUGAUACCAUGAAAGCUAGCAAGAAUCAUCACAAAGAUGAACAGAGAAGUGAAUAGAAUUAGAGGGAGAUACUGCAAUGCAGAGGAAGAAGAAAAACAUUUCUGCAUAUAUUCACUUAUAUUUUUACCAACAUUGUUACAUACAUUCAUUUUAUAUGAACCAAGAUGAGAAGCUUGUUUACGUAAUCUAAUCAACAAUAACAGACUUUGUUAACUAUCUAACAAUAUUAACAAACUUUUUAACCAUUAUAUUCUUUAUUCUCUUGACAGGGCAGAAGCAGAGCCUUUGAUAUCUUGACAAAAGUAAAACACAAGGAAAUGCAUGCAUGCACACCACUAAUCUUUGAUUCUGGCGAGAACAGUGAUGACUACACUCUGAACCAAAUAGAAUUACAUUCCGAGAUGAAGAAAUUAAUAACACAGAGCAGUGCUAUAAAGCUACAUGUGAAACCAGAGAUUAAUAAGCAAUGCUGAAAAUUUUAUCAAGCAUAAGACGAGAGAAGCAUAGGACAUAUUUUUCCCACAAUUGAAUAUGUGAAUUGAGCACAGAUUUCCCUGUUGCAAACUGUUCCUAAUUUCUCAAAUGAUUAACUAGAAUACGAGUUGCACUUAAAAUUUUAAAGCAACAUAUAUGCUCUUGAUUUUUAGUGAAUUGCUGAAACAAACAUACAAGCUCGAUCACACCUCUAGAACAGAGUGACAGUUCAUGGUGACCUCAAAGACUGCAUCAAGUCCUCCAAGCUCUCGUAACUUUUCCCUAAAGCCCCCCCCAGUCUUCCUUAAUUACCAUGCCAGAUGUAUCUGAAUGAAUGCAACCCAUACAGUGAAAUGAAUAAGCAAUCAGAAAAGGAGAGAGAGAGAGUGAAAAAAUUUGUCACAAAACUAGAUAAUGGCGACCACAUAUCAAUAAUUCGAGAUAUGACGUGGGGCACUUUCAUCGUGAUUAUUGUUUGUCCAAUAAUGUUGGAUGUAUUAUUUCUUGUUAAGACUUUUUAGGUUGUGAAAAGUCCAAGAUGUAGUAUAAUAAAAUAAAUAUAACCUUUGAUUUUAUCAUUUAUAUUGAGCUGAAAUUUUGACAUACAAUUCUAAAGAUUUUGUGGUUAAAAUUUCAAGAUCUUAAAAAAAAGACCUUUAAAUAAGGAUUUAAAGUUACUAUGAGAUGGUCUUUAUUUACCUAUUUGGUAUUGUUUUUAUUUAUAUUAGGAAUUUUAAUUUAAUUAGUAUUUUAUUAUUAAAAAAUUCUAAUAAUAGAUUGAUUCUAUUAGUUAGGCAAGUUUUAAAUACAAUUUAUUUUUCUAUACAAAAUUUUAUAUCUAGAACAAAUAUAAAUAAAAAUAUUUAGUUUAUUUUUUGUUCGGGUAUUCAUAUUAUUAUUAAGAUUUUUUAAAAAUAUUUAGAGAUUUUUUUUUAUUUCGCUAUUGUGUUAGGACUAUAACCUUAAGGUUUGGAUGUUUGUGAAAGUGGAAGCGGUUACUUUUUAAAAUGUUUUUCACUUAGAAAUGCAUCAAAAUCAUAUAUAUAUUUUUUAUUUUUUAAAAUUAAUUUUUGACAUCAAAACAAUGCAAAAACACCAAAAAAUUAAUUUGAAAAAAAAUCAAAAAUUUUGAAAACCUCGAUCAAAAUGUUGUACCAAACACCCUCUUAGUUUUAUCUUAUUUUUAAAAAAUAAUUCUUGAUAUUAGCAAACAAAACAAUUUAAUAACACAAAAAAAUUAAUUUUAAAAAAUCAAAAUCUUAAAAAACUCUCGUCUAAAUGUUUGCUUUUAGUUUUAUCAUCGUUGCACUGCGUAAAGAUGCUAAAAAGAAAAUAGUUGAUAUAGCCACCUAAGUGCUGGUGGUGUUUCAGAGUGUAGUAGCGAUUGUUUUUUAAAGUGUUUUUUACUCGGAAAUGCAUUAAAAUAAUAUUUUUUUAUUUUUAAAAAAUUAUUUUUAACAUCAGCAUAUCAAAAUGAUCUGAAAAUACUGAAAAAAAUAUUAAUCUAAAUUAAAUAAAAAAAUAAAAAAAAAUCAAUCUCUUUUAAAAAUAUUUUUAAAAUGCAGAAACAAACAGGAUCUCUCAACCUGCUACAAAUAACUGCUGCAAUGGCCUUUCUUUAAUAUUUUACUUACACCAUUCUGCACAAUAUUUUCUUUUGUACAUCCAUGGAACCCUCUUUGCCUUCUACACAAAUUCAAAGCCCAUGCUAAAAACUACAAGGAAAUGAUCUCUACCUUUCUACAAGUUAAAGGCUUUUGGUACUUUCCGUCCUUCUUGGGAAGACCCAUCUCAGUUCAAGAACACUUCGAGCCUCAAUCCACUGAUAUAUUUGUCGUCAGCUUCCAAAAACGAAGGAAAUCUUUGGUUAAUGUUCUCUAAUAAGUACUAACACCUUUUCUCCUUCAACAGUGAAAUUUACGUGCCUUUCACACCUUUUUACGUUCGAACAUUUCAUUUGUUCUUGUGCUCUAAAUUCUAAAUUGAGUCUGUUUUUGUGAGUUCCAUUCUUCUAUUUAAAAGAUUAGAAAACGCAAGAUUGCAUCAAUGCUAAAUGCAAUUUCAAUAUCUGUGUGUGUGUCAAAUGCAUGGUGAUGUUACAUGAUGUGUUUGUUUUUACGUUUCAAAAAUAUUUUUUUAAAAUUAAAUUUUAUUUAUUUAUUUUUUAUUUUAAAUUAAUAUUUUUUAGUUUUUUCGGAUUAUUUUAAUUUACUGAUAUCAAAAUUAACUUUUUUAAAAUAAAAAAAAUAUUAUUUUAAUACAUUUCUGAGUAAAAAAUACUUUGAAAAGUAACUGCUACUACACUUCCAAAUAUACCCUUAAAAAAACAAAGUUAUGGAGUUGGAGGCUCUAAAUAUUCCUCAAAAUAUCAAGUCUUAAGGGCUCGGAGCUAUUAUCCAGUCUUAAAAUUUUUGCAUUUUAAAAAUAUUUUUAAAAAAAUGAAUAUUUUUUACUUUUUUUUAUUUUAAACUAUAUUUUUUUCUUUCUGUUUUUAUAUUGUUUUUAUGUAAAAAAUAAAUUUUAAAAAAUAUAAAAAUAUUUUUUUAAAAACAAUCACCAUACAAUAACAAAUAAAAUAUUAAUAUGAAAUAAAAUCUAAUUCUACCAGCAGACAGCUGAUAAGAAUACUAAAAAAGUGUAAAUUUUGACUUAAUUCAAUUAUUAGAAUUUGGGGCAGCGUAACAGUGUCAAAGAAAAUGUCAGAAAAGUAGGGCAAACAGUGCAAAUACCUUGGAUGAUGGUGACCAAAUAUUUGUAAUUUGAGACAUCUCGUUCUUGAAAAGAAAUAGUUAAUAGUGCCAAUAAUUUUUUUUUAUUAAUUUGAGGUGUUCAGACCAGUUUGCAUGCACCUCGACUAAUACUUACGGUUCUUGAAGUUAACGAAUAAAUAAGCCUCCAGUGGCCAUCAAUAUUAACAACUACAAGGCUCGAACUUGAGACCACAGGGGGGCAAACCCCUUGAUCCAAAACUCUUACCACUUGACCACCUACUAGAUGGUUAGUACCAAUAAUUAAUUUGCUCUCAACUUGCUACAAAUAGCUGCCAUGAUCACAUAUUCAAGAAACACUAGUUUAAGAGCUUGGGAUCAAGAGGUUUGCUCCCUCUGUAGUCUCAGGUUCAAGCCCUGUGGUUGCUCAUAUGAUGGCCACUGGAGGCUUACAUGGUCGUUAACUUCAGGGCCCGUGGGAUUAGUAGAGGUGCGUGUAAGCUGGCCCGGACACCCACGUUAAACUAAAAAAAAAAAAACACUAGUUUAUAAACCCUGAGGGGUAGCUCAACUGGUUAGAUUUUGAGUAUGUUUCCUAAUAAUCACGAGUUUGAGUUCUUUUAGGCCAACUGGAGGCUUACAUAGUUUUAAACUUCAGGACUCGUGAAAUUAGUAAAGGUACAUACAAAUUCAGUGGUGGAGCCAGAAAUUUUUAAAUGAGGAGGCAAAUUACUAACAAAUAUUUGAUAUUAUAUGCUAUACAUAUAUAUGUUAUAUAUAGAAAUGAAUUUGAAAUACAUGUGCCUCAAGUCAAGCAAAAUUAAUUUAAGAAUACUUUUAAAAUGAAAAAAACUUAUGUUAUAAUUGUUUUCUUCGAGAUUUUAUAUUUUAAAACUGCUUCAUAAUAAUUUUAUUUUUAAUUUCAUUAAAAAUAUAUUUCUCAAUAUAUACAACAAACUUUCAUUUAUCUAUUUCUAAAUCUUCCAAGUACUAGGAAAGUUGUUGACAACAAUUUUAUGCUGACAUAUGGUACAUAACAUCUAAAAUCAUAUCUUAAAAGAAUUGUCAUAAAUUGAAGUUGUUCUUACUGACUUGUUGUUUUGUACAAGUAGAUUAAAUAUAAAUAUUAAAUGUUUUUUUAAAUUUAUCUAUUAUGUCUCUAAUUUUUUUAGUUGUCUUAUACUUCAUUUUUAAUCAUUAGUAAAUUCAUUAUCAUCGUUUUUCAUAUGAAAUUCAUAACAAAACUUAUCAAUUCAUCAAAACUCAUUUCAAUUCAUAUCCAUUAGCAUAUAAUAUUACCCAUACACAUAUUAAUUCAACAAACCCAUAAAUUAUUAUAAACCCUAACAUUUUUAAUAACUAAUUUUUGGAGAUGUAGACCCAGUAUUUUUGGAGCUUCCAUAUCUAGUUGACCUAUCAGGAAGAGAUGAAGUUAACGUUUGGGAAUGCGGUGCAAACCAUGUUCCCCUAAAAUUAAAUUUUUUUUUGUUAAAAAUUAAUUUUUUGGUAUAUUUUGGAUCGUUUUGAUGCGCUGAUCUCAAAAAUAAUUUUUAAAAAAUAAAAAAACAUCAUUUUGAUGCAUUUCGGCACAAAAAAUACUUUGAAAAGCAACUGUAACCACACUCCUAUACAAGUAAAGUCUCUAACAGCACAAGUAUAAAAAAUAUAACUGCUGGGCAAACCAACUCUUUUCUCAAACCCAUCAGUUGCCUCAUGAUAUAUAUAUAUAUAUACACAUAUAUAUAUAUAUAUAUAUAUAUAUAUAUACACACACACACCAUGCAUAGAAUUCAUGGAUAAAAGAAAGGAAUUGGAUCUGAUUUGAGGUGGGGGGAUUGCCCCCUCUUGCCUUUAUGUGGCUCCGCCACUAUAUAAAUUAGUUUGGAUAUUUACAUUAAUUAAAAAAAAAAUACUGGUCUAGAAAAGCGAUCUACAAGGUGAUUAUUUAGUUGACUAAUUGAAUCUGUUUUUUAUAAAAAAAAUAUUUUAGAAGAUAAUUUUUAAUAAUUUUAGAUUUUUUUAUAUAUAAAUAUCAAAAAUAAAAUUAAAAAAAUAACAAAAUAUUAUUUUAAUAUAAUUUUAAAUAAAAAACACAUUUAAAAAAACUUAAUAGUAUACUCUCAACCAAGGUUGUCAAUUCCGUUUCGGUAGGUGUUUCGUUUUUUUAAUUGGAAUGGAAUGUUUCAGUUUCGGAGUGUUUCGGCGUGCCGUUCCGGGGUUGUACUGUUCAUAUAUAUAUAUUCAACAAACAUAAUUCAAAUUCAAGAUAAAUUAAUUAUAAAUUAUGCAAUACAAACACAAUGCCAAACAAAUAUAAUUUCAAAAUUUAAAAUAUUUCUAAAUAGUCAAGAUUAAAUAGAUCUUUACCUUAAAGUAAUUCAACUUAAACAAAAUAUCAAAAUAUUAUGAAAGUAAAAUGUUUUAACAUAAAUAUUUUAAAUAUAAAGUUAGGUCAAUGUUAUCAAGGCUAAUUGAAUCUAAAGCAUCCCUUGGUUUGCUCAAAUUUCUACAAAGUAUAAACAUGAAAAAAAAACAUGAAUAUAAACCUUAUAUAUUAGUGAUAAAUCUAAUUUUAAAAAAUUAAUAUCAUUGUUAAUGAAAAUAGUAAUAAUAAUUUUCAAUAUUAUUAUUAAUAUCAUUGUUAUUGAAAAUAGUAAUGAAAAAGAGCCUUUUAUAAUUGGGUGAUUUAAUUAAUUAAAUUGAACAAAAUUCAAUUUGAUUCAAUGGAUUUUCAAGAACGGAACGAAACAAGUGGAAUGAAACCGGAACGUUCCGGGUGGAAUUUAGCCGAAAAAUACAGAACAGACCGAGAUUUAAAAUAAAAUGAAAUUUAUUUUAUUUUUUAAAUUGGUAUGAAAUAUUUCGUUUAUUUCAUACGAAACAAAACAGAAUUGACAACUUGCUCUCAAGCACCCAAAAUAGAGGAUUCAAUUGUAUUGUGGGUUCCACACCAUUUAAAGCUUGCAAAGAAGGAUUUGAAACACAAUCACACUAAAGAUUUGCAAUGGAAUAUAAUAUAAAAUAAUACCCAAUGGCAUCAGCGGACAUGUAAUCAAUAAUAUUAAAAUACAGUAAAUUUUGAUUUAAUUCAAUUAUUGGAUUCUAGGCAGCGUGACAAUGUCAGAAAAUCUUGGAUGAUGGUGACCAAAUAUAUCAGUAAUUUGAGACAACACGUUCCCGAAAGGUAAUAGCUGAUGGUGCCAAAAAUUAAACCAGCUCUCAACUCGCUACAAAUAGCUGCCAUGGCCUUUCAUUCUACCUUAUAUUUCUUUUUUAACUUUCAUGGAAUCCUCUUUGCCUUCCUCCCAAAUCUUGGAUUCUGAUGGAAAUGCUGAGAGGAAAAAUGAAGCUAAAAAUUACAAUGAAGUGAUGUCCACCCUUCCAAAAGUUAAAGGCUUGAGGGGGGAUGAUUAUUACCUGUACCAAGGCUUUUGGUACGCUCCCUUCUUCUUGGAAAGACUCAUGUCUGUUCAAGAGCACUUCCAUCCUCAAUCCACUGAUAUAUUUGUCGCCAGUUUUCCAAAAACUGGCACAACUUGGCUUAAGGCCCUCACUUUUGCUAUUUUCACACGAUCCCGUUUAAGUGGUUCAACAACUAGUUCUUUACUUUCCAAGAUGCCACAUGACUGUGUUCCUUUUUUGAAUUAUAACCUUGCUCAAAACCCCAGUAAUCGGGACUUGACAAUUCCUCUGCUAUCUACUCAUGUUCCUUACAGUUGUUUACCUAAAUCUAUCAUUUCUUCUUGUUGCAAGAUUAUUUACAUUUGCAGGGACGCAAAGGAUGCUUUUGUUUCUUUGUGGUACUUUCAUGCCACGUUGCAAAGGUCGAAAAAUGUUGAGCCUCUUCCUCUGGAAGAGGCUUUUGAGCUGUUCUGCAAUGGAAUUGCAAAUUUUGGACCCUACUGGAACCAUGUUUUAGGGUACUGGAGAGCAAGCUUGGAGUUCCCCGAGAAGAUACUGUUCUUGACAUAUGAGGAAAUGAAGAAAGACACCGCUGCUCAUGUUAAGAAAUUAGCUGAGUUCAUGGGUUGUUCUUUCACCCUAGAGGAAGAGGAGGAAGGGGAGGUGCAAAAGAUAAUAGGCAUGUGUAGUUUUGAGAAGUUGAGCAACUUGGAGGUGAAUAAAAAUGGGAAGUGCCUUCUAGACAUAUCAAUUCCUAUUCCAAAUAGUAUAUUCUUCAGGAAAGGUGAGAUAGGCGACUGGGCAAAUCACUUGACACCUGAAAUGGGAGCACGUCUAGAUGACAUAAUGGAGCGGAAGCUCAAGGGUUCAGGCUUGAAGCUGCCCAGGUGACUGUGCCUGGGCCCCGUUUGCUUAUUAUUAUUGGCUUAGUGGGUUCGUCAAAAGCUGUUAUCAACAUCUCGUGAAACAGCAACCGUGUAUCCCAAUAAAUACCCUCUCUGUUCAUCUCUUGUAUUUCCUAGCAAGUAUUCACAUUUUGUGAAUCAUCCAUGUCAAUAAGCAAUAUUCUUUUGUGAAUCUGUGUUUGUAACUUUCAUUGAUUUCCUUGCAAGUUUGUAAGAAUUAAAAAUGGGAUUCGUUUUUUAUUUAUUUAUUUAACACAAGUGCAUGCAUUCCAUUAAUCAGUGAUAAAAAAAAAUAAAAUUACUCUACUAUAUAAUAUUAGAGUGUUUUCUUCACAGAAAUUGCAGUGUGUUUUCUUCACACUGCAAUACAUGUUUUAAAAGAACCGAGACAACCAUACAUGAGGGCGGAGCAAAUACCAACCGAGACAACCAUCCAUUAAGAUUGUUGAAUUGAAGAUCAAAUGAACAUAGGCGGCACAUCUGCUGAAAGGAUCUCGAAAUGCCUUGUAAUUGGUUAAAAUAAAGAUCAAGAUCUGUAGGAGAACUCGUGUUUUCCACUCCUAAAAUAAGCCCAGUUGCCGGCUUCAUGUGCAACAGAGGCACAUAGAGAAUCUCCCCCCCCCCCCCUCCAGGCUCAGAUCACAAAUCUUCUUACUUCAAACCAAUCUUUUGGAACCGAUAUAUAUGUCGAGUGAUGGCUUGAUUUAUACCGGAGAUUGUGUUGGAAAAUUAAAGAAGCAUGGCUUAAUUUGUACCUUGGAUGCGCAAAUUGAUUACAGGAAAAUAUCAAAAAAAAAUUUCCUUUCUUUAUAACUUAUGAAGAGUAAAAUAAAAAAAAAGUUAAUAGUAAAACAAAAUAACCCCAAGUGUACAUUAUCAAUGCAAAACUAGAUUUUUCCUUAUUUUAUAUCCCUUUCUUUUGAUAUACUUCUUCUUUUAUGCCCCUUUCUUUUGGUAUAUCUCUUCUUUGUAUCUUUUGGUGUUAAUCACUUUGUUGAAUGCCUCUGUUGAUAUCUUUUAUAACUCACUACAGUGAUUUGAACAUUGAAAAUGUUUCCUUUUAAAAAAAAAAAAUAGAGAAGGCAUUUUGAUUUCAUCUUCAAUUUUUCUGCAUGUCUUCUUCUUUCAAAGUAUUGGGUUUAAAACACAAUCAUGCUCUACAUCAUGCUUUGAGUUUUCCAGGUUAUUUUCAGAAAGAUUUGAUAUAUUUGACCUGAAAGAAAAAAAGGAUGUACAAAGCUUUGCAUUUCUGGAACGUCUUUUCAUCAUGCUCUACAUGAUUCAAUCACAUUGCUCACAUCUACAUGAGUAACCAGAAAAGCAAGUAUUUCAUCGGAUUCUACAUGAUUCGAUCACUUCGCUCACAGCUUUAUGAGUCUCUGGUGAUAUCGUGUUUAAUUAAAUAGAAUAUUUAUUAUAAGAAACAGAUUUAUCAAAUAUAAUUGAGUAUAUGCCUCAUCAUAUCAAAUAUUUUAAUUAGAUGUAACUAUCUAGGUGGUGGUUCAGUGGUAAAAGUUUGGGACCAAGAUGUUUGUUCCCUCUGUGGUCUCAGGUUCGAGCCCUGUGGUUGCUCAUAUGAUGGUCAUUGGAGGCUUACAUGGUCGUUAACUUCAGGGCCCGUGGGAUUAGUCAAGGUGCACGCAAGCUGAUCCGGACAUCCAUGUUAAACUAAAAAAAUAUAUAUAUUUUAAUUAGAUGCGUGUGUACAAGUAUUUUAAUUUAUGAUUAAGAAUUUUUUUAUAUCAAAAAAAAAUUAAAAAGUCUGUAUAUUUAUUUUUCCUUGUUAAAACAAUUAUCUGAAAUAGCCAGUAAUCAACUAACUAUGAAAGAUAAGAUUGAGAAUUGAGAAGUUUAUUUGUCAGCAGACAGUAGCUUCAGUAGAUGGAAAAAGACUCUCUAGAUCACCGGAUCAAUUCCCACCUUCAUGAACUAUUUUUUAUUAGUACAGAAAGCUUCAUAUCAGUCAAAACUCUCUCUCUCUCUCUCUCUCUCUCUCUCUCUCUCUAAAUGGAUCAGAGACUACACAAAUAUAGAGGUGGAGCUUCACAUUAAGCUUCAGAUCAAUUUUCUAUUUUAAAAUCUCAUAAGUUUGGUCCAUUGAUUGCCCUAGAUUGCCCUAGAUUUUCCUGUGUUUUAUAUCCUUUUCUUUUGACAUUUUUUUUAAUCUUUUUCCAGGCCAAAAUCCUAAUUUAAUGUUUGAAAUUGAGAUGAUAAUUAUUUAACUAGAAAAUAUAUUAAAAUAAUAUUUUUUAUUUUUAAAAAUUUAUUUUAAUCAUCACCACAUUAAAACAAUCUAAAAUUAUAUAAAAAAAUUAAAAUAAUAAGAUUUAAAAAUAUUUUUUAAACACAAAAACAAACACAAUCAUCACUCAUAUAUCAUGAGAUUUGCAUUUAGACAUUAAAAUUCAAGAAGAAAUUAAGUUCACCGUACUAUUAAUUCAGUCGAUGAAGGAUUAGUCCCAACUACUUUAGGCCACCAUUAAUUACUUUAUUUAAAUGUAUACUUCUUUAUUAAUUCAGUCGAUGAAGGAUUAGUCCCAACUACUUUGGGCAUUUUAACUCCAUCUUCAAUUACUUUAUUUAAAGGUAUCCUUCUUUCUUAGAUAUUGAAUUUUGAAAACACAAUCAUGCUAAAGAUUUGUCAACGAAUUGUUUUUUAAAAUAAAAAAAUAUUUUAAAAAAUAAUUAAUACCAUACUACCGAGCAAAUGAAGUUAUGUGGAGGGUUCCGCACCAUUUAAAGGUUGUAAAGAAAGGUUUAAAACACAAUGACGAUAAAGAUUUGCUAUCGAAUAUAAUAUGAAAUAAUAAUACCCAAUUGCAUCAGCGGACAUGUGAUCAACAAUAUUAAAAUUCUGUAAAUUUUGAUUUAAUUCAAUUAUUGGAAUUCCAGGCAGCGUGGCAAUGUCAGAAAAUCUUGGACGAUGGUGACUAAAUGUUUGUAAAUGGAGACGGCACGUUCGCGGAAGGUAAUAGUCGAUGGUGCCAAAAAUUAAAUCAGCUCUCAACUCGUUACAAAUAGCUGCCAUGGCCUUUCAUUCUACAUUAUUUUUUCUUUUUUCACAUUCAUGGAAUCCUCUUUGCCUUCCACCCAAAUCUUGGAUUCUGGUGAAAGUGCUGAGAGGAAAAAUGAAGCUAAAAAUUACAAUGAAGUCAUGUCCACCCUUCCAAAAGUAAAAGGCUUGAAUGGGUGUGAUUAUUACCUGUACCAAUGCUUUUGGUACGAUCCCUCCUUCUUGGAAGGAAUCAUGUCUGUUCAAGAGCGCUUCAAUCCUCAAUCCACUGAUAUAUUUCUCGCCAGUUUUCCAAAAACUGGCACAACUUGGCUUAAGGCCCUCACUUUUGCUAUUUGUACACGAUCCCGUUUAAGUGGUUCAACAACUAGUUCUUUACUUUCCAAGAUGCCACAUGACUGUGUUCCUUUUAUGGAAUAUGACCUUGCUCAGAACCCAAGUAAUCGGGACUUGGCAAUUCCUCUGGUAUCUACUCAUGUUCCUUACACUUGUUUACCUAAAUCUAUCAUUUCUUCUUGUUGCAAGAUUAUUUACAUUUGCAGGGACGCAAAGGAUGUUUUUGUUUCUUUGUGGUACUUUCUUGCCAGGCUGCAAAUGUCUGAAAAUGUUGAGCCUCUUCUUCUGGAAGAGGCUUUUGAGUUGUUUUGCAAUGGAAUUGCAAAUUUUGGACCCUACUGGAACCAUGUUUUAGGGUACUGGAGAGCAAGCUUGGAGUUCCCCGAGAAGAUACUGUUCUUGACAUAUGAGGAAAUGAAGAAAGACACCGCUGCUCAUGUUAAGAAAUUAGCUGAGUUCAUGGGUUGUUCUUUCACCCUAGAGGAAGAGGAGGAAGGGGAGGUGCAAAAGAUAAUAGGCAUGUGUAGUUUUGAGAAGUUGAGCAACUUGGAGGUGAAUAAAAAUGGGAAGUGCCUUCUAGACAUAUCAAUUCCUAUUCCAAAUAGUAUAUACUUCAGGAAAGGUGAGAUAGGCGACUGGGCAAAUCACUUGACACCUGAAAUGGGAGCACGUCUAGAUGACAUAAUGGAGCGGAAGCUCAAGGGUUCAGGCUUGAAGCUGCCCAGGUGACUGCGCCUGGGUCCCAUUUGCUUCUGAUUAUUGCCGAAGUGGGUUCAUCAAAAGCUGUUAUCAACAUCUCGUGAAACAGCAACUGUGUAUCCCAAUAAAUACCCUCUCUGUUCAUCUCUUGUAUUUCCUAGCAAGUAUUCACAUUUUGUGAAUAAUCCAUGUGAAUAAGCAAUGUUCUUUUGUGAAUCUGUGUUUGUAACUUUCAUUGAUUUCCUUGCAAGUUUGUAAGAAUUAAAAAUGGGAUUCGUUUUUUAUUUAUUUAUUUAACACAAGUGCAUGCAUUCCAUUAAUCAGUGAUAAAAAAAAAAAAAUUACUCUACUAUAUAAUAUUAGAGUGUUUUCUUCACAGAAAUUGCAGUGUGUUUUCUUCCCACUGCAAUACAUGUUUUAAAAGAACCGAGACAACCAUACAUGAGGGCGGAGCAAAUACCAACCGAGACAACCAUCCAUUAAGAUUGUUGAAUUGAAGAUCAAAUGAACAUAGGCGGCACAUCUGCUGAAAGGAUCUCGAAAUGCCUUGUAAUUGGUUAAAAUAAAGAUCAAGAUCUGUAGGAGAACUCGUGUUUUCCACUCCUAAAAUAAGCCCAGUUGCCGGCUUCAUGUGCAACAGAGGCACAUAGAGAAUCUGAAAGCAGUUUUUAUGCACUAUCAGCAGAAUAAUUUGAUCAGUCAGAAUGAUCCCCCCCCCACUAGGCUCAGAUCACAAUUCUUCUUACUUCAAACAAAUCUUUUGGAACCGAUAUGUGGAGGGAUGGCUUGAUUUAUACCGGAGAUUUUGUUGGAAAAUUAAAGAAGCAUGGCUUAAUUUGUACCUUGGAUGCGCAAAUUGAUUACAGGGAAAAAAAUGACAGAAAGUGAGUUGCAGGGAAUGAAAAAGGCAUUAGUAAACUCAACAGCUUGCAGGGCAUCGUUCCUUGGUUUACUCCGUUUUAUUUCUUAUUUUGUUUUUCCUGCCAUUGUCUUAUGUUUGUCUAACUCGCAGUCUGGUCUCUGCAGAGAAUGAGAAAGCACAGACUCUUUAAGAGAAGAUAUUCUCCGGCAAUGGCAUCAAACAGAAAAGUCCGACGUUAACUAAAUGAGUUCAUGGGUCUCUUGUCUGAAUAUAGAAGUGCAGAAACUAAGCUUGACCAAAAACCCCCAUGCUACCAACUACAACUCAACAAGCAACAAAUCAAAUGAAUUGUGAUCCGCCAGUAAACAGCGAAUGGACACUGCCCCAGCAAUAGAUCAUACAAGCUCUGACCAACCGGUCAAAGAUCACGAGGACCCUACCCACUGCCCACUGACUGACAAUUCAUCAAAUAGAUUUAUUGCCGUUCACCACCUUAUUUAGAUGUAUUUUUAAAUAAUAUCCGUGAACUCAAAAAAAAAUCACUCAAAUAUCUCCCUAGAAAACUGACCUUGAACUCUUAACUAGGAGAAAAACAAAGAGGAAAAAUAGAGCUUAUAACAUAGGAAACUACGCUGAAAACUGAGGUGAAAAAAAGUGUAAGAAAUUCUGUAAAAAUGUCCAGAAACACUUUUUAUCACUUUUUACAGAGGAUUUUGAAACCUAAACCAAUGUAGAUUUACUUUUAGUAAUUAUUAAAAAUUAAUUUUUAUCAUUAUCAAUCUUAAUUAUCCGUUAUAAAUUAAAAUUAACCUUAACCCUUUUAGCUUUAAAUAUAAUGCUUUGUUAGAAUUAUAAAAACCAUUCAAAUUGAAAAAAAUUGCUUAGGCUGAAAAAAGUGUUCAGACUCUAUAUUCAUUGACAGUACAAACUGAUGGAUUAGAAAGAAAAAAAAUAUAUAGGCCAAAAAAUUAUAAAUCCAAACCCAAGUUUAAAAUAUAUUGAUAAAAAUUAAUUAUUUAUAGUUUACAAUAAAAUCAGACUUGGGACAAGCAAGCCAAUUAAGCAUGGGACUUCAACUCAAAGUUUACUUUACUUAGGUUUUUUUUUUUAAUCUGAGUGUAUUUUAAUCCAAUUUUAAUUCUUUAUAUUUUUAAUAUAUAAUUAACAAUAAAAAUGUUGUUUUUUUUACGUGAAAUAAAGGUUUUGAAUUUCACAAAGAUAUAUUCAUCAACAAAAUUAAAUUUUUAUUUAUUUAUAAUUUAUUUUAAUUAUUUUAAUAUUUUAUGUUAAAGAGAUUUGGUUGGAGAAUAAGUUUCAAUAAAAUUUAAAUCCGAAAAAUAAGUAGAUUUUAUUUUUAAUUUUAUUUCAAAUAUAUUUAUUUUUUAUGUUUUAAAACAAAUUUUAUCUCAUCUAUGUAUGUAUAAAUAUAUAAUCACAAUUCUCAAUACAGCACUUAUAGUUAGUUAUCGAACGAAAGAAUGUUAUCUCUUUCAGUAUGCCACAGAUAUUCAAAACACGGCGGUCACCCUUAUUAGCUUGCAGUCGUCUAUCGAAGUAUUAUCGCCAAAUCCACAGAAGCAAGGCAAACCACAGUUUUCUCUAGUUAUAGGACUAGACGGUACUGCGCUAGACUGCAGGUUUACAAUAUUUUUUCGAUAAAAUAUUUAAAUCAUGAGAAAAUCAUGCAUGAUUAAAAGAGUAAAAUUCAAAUUAAAAAUAUCAAUACAUGACAAAAUAAAAUUAAAAAAAAUUAAAUAAAAUUUUUAUAAAAAAACUAGAAUAAAAGAGAGGACUGAAACCGAAAAAGUUUAAACAAAAAGGACAUACCUGCAAUUUGAGGGGGGGAGGGAGGAGGAGAAAAAAAAAGGUUCAUCAACAACGAACUGCUCGACCUUCACCUACAUGUAUCGCACCAUGAGAAAGAGGAAGCAGUGAUGCUUCCAACAACACAAUAAAAUGUUUAUUUUUACAACUAGAGGUAUUGCAUGCUAUACUUGAAGUGCUAGCUUUUUAAAUUUUAAUAUUAUUUAUUUUUUUGUUAAAAGAUUACAAUGCGCAAACUAAAAAGAAAAACAAUAUAAAAAGAUAAAGUAUAACCUUGACCUAAAGCUUUUCUUUUUCUUUUUACUUCAAGGAUAUUUAAGUAAGUUUAGUGUACAUUCAAAAGCAUUUAAUGAAAUACCCUUCGACCAAGGUUUUUUUUUUUUUUAAAGUAUAAGACACUUAACAAAAUAAUAAAUAACAAAAAUUAAAAACUUAAAAAGACAAAAAAUACCCUUCGACCAAGGUUUUUUUUUUUUACUCCAAAGCAUUUAAUGAAUCUCGCCCAUAACGACAGCAAGUCUUUAAAAAGUGGAUUUCCUGAUGAAACCUGGAUAGUAUCAGUGCCAGCUCGAGCUCAGAAUGCGGCAUCUAUUGAUUAACUUACCAGUUACCAACACAAGGAGACACACACAACAACUUUAAAAAGGGCAUUAUAUAGCUAAACAUUGAUUAUUAUUUUUAUUUCAUUUUUAAUAUUAUAUUAAUUUUAAAUAUAUAUAUUUUUAAUUUCUCCAUUCAAUAACAAGUUGAAAUUCAUAAUUUUAUUUAAUUCAUUUCUUAUAAUAAUUUUUUUCCCAUCGUUUAAUUAAAUAAAAUAUUUAUUAUAAAAAAUAAAAUUAUUAAACAUAAUUGAGUAUAUGGCUUGUAUUUUUAGGUUAAAUAUUGUAAUUAGAUGUGGGUAUAAGCAUUUUAAUUUAUAAUUAAAAAGAAAAACUAUAUCCAAAAAAGAAUUUAAAAAACCUGUAUAUUUAUUUUUCAAUUAUCUAACCUGCAGCAGUGAAGUGCAAUUGAAAUAGCUAGUAAUCUAACUAAAAAAUUUAAGAUAAGAUUAAGAAAUGAGAAGUUUAUUUGUCAGCAGACAGUAGCUUCAGUAAAUAGAAAAUAUAGACUGUACUGCUGCUGAUCCCGGGAUCAAUGCCCACCUUCAUGGAUUAUAUAUAUAUAUAUAUAUAUAUAUAUAUUCAAUGUGAGAUAUUAAGUCAUUUAGUACAUACUAGUUAGAUGACUUGUGCGGUGCUGCGAGUUAAUUUUUUUUGCAUAAAAAUAUAUAAAAAAACUAAAAUCUAAAAGUAUUAGGUCUUUUUGCAAAGUUAUACCCAAGAAUCUUGGGUUUGGCUGCAACGCCUGACCCAAGAGUAAUAUUUAUAAUAUUAAUUAUAACAUUAAACUUGCAUGACUCAAGUUUAAAUGAGUCUAGAUGCAAUACCAUACCCAAUAGUCUUGGAUGUGGGUCUGGCUGCAAGGUCGUGUAAUAAAAGUGUGAUAAUUAAAUAGAUUAAUUAAAAAUAAAAAAAACAAAGAAAAAAACAAACAUGAAGAAAAAAACUAAUGAAGAAAAAGAAAAAAAAUUUGAAUUAACUGGGUUAACCCUUCAAACCAGGUUAAUCCGUCAAACCUUGGAUUCGUGUCGUGAAAGUUUGAUAACUAAAUAAAAAAAAAAUGAACAUUAACAAACUAAAUUAAAUGAAAAAAAUAAUUAAAAAAAAAAGCAUCAGCCUUUUCACUGUGGACUGCACUGUGCAGUCCACAGUCAAAUGCAUAAAAACAACAAAAAAGCAAAAAGAAAAACUAAAGGCAUCAAUCGAUAACUAAAUAGAAAAAAAAUUUAAUAUUGAUGAACUAAAUUAAAUAAAAAAAAUUAAAUAAAAAGAAGAAAAAACUUAUAAGAAGAAAAAAACUAAUGAAGAAAAAGAAAAAAAAUCUAAAUUAACUGGGUUAACCCGUCAAACCUGAGAUCCGUGUCAUGAAAGUCUGACAACUAAAUAAAAAAAAUUUAAUAUCAAUAAACUAAAUAAAAAAAUUAAUUUAAAAAAAAGGCAUCAGCCUUUUCACCGUGGAUUGCACUGUGCAGUCCAUAGUGAAAGGCAUGAAAAUAAAAAAAACAAAAAAAAACUAAAGGCAUCAGCCUUUUCACUGUGGACUGCAUAGAAUAUUAAAAGAUGAAAUCGGAAGAACAAAACUAAUGAGGAAAAAGAAAAAAAAAAUCUGAAUCAACUAGGUUAAUCCGUCAAAUCAAGUUAACCCGUCAAACUUGAAAGUGUGAUAACUAAAUAGAAAAAAGAUUUAAUAUUAAUGAAAUAAAUUAAAAAAAGAUUAAUUAAAAAGGAAAAAAGCAAAGAGAAAAAAGACCAACAGGAAGAAAAAAACCUAAUGAAGAAAAAGGAAAAAAAUCUGAAUUAAGUGGGUUAACUGGUCAAACCUGGGAUUCGUGUCAUGAAAAUCUGAUAAUUAAACAGAAAAAAUUUAAUAUUAAGAAACUAAAUUAAAAAAAGACUAAUUAAAAAAAGACAAAAAAAAACUAAAGGCAUCAGCUUUUUCACUCUUAAAAAGGAAAAGAGAGAAAAAUAAAAACAAAAGCAAACGCCACGGGUUAAUUUUUUUUUUCUUGCAUAAAAAAUAUUAAAAAAAACUAAGAUCUAAGAGUAUUAGGUCUUUCUGCAAAGAUAUGCCCAAGAGCCUUUGGUUUAGUUGCAACGCUUGACCCAAGAGUAAUAUUUAUAAUAAUAAUAAUAAUAAUAAACUUACAUGACUCAAGUUUAAGUGAGUCUGGCUGCAAGGUCGUGUCAUAAAAGUGUGAUGAUUAAAUAUAUUAAUUAAAAAGAAAAAAACCAACAUGAAGAAAAAAACUAAUGAAGAAAAAGAAAAAAAUAUGAAUUAACUGGAUUAACCCUUCAAACCAGGUUAACCCGUCAAACCUGAGAUUCAUGUUAUGAAAGUUUGAUAACUAAAUAGAAAACAAAAUUGACGGGUUAACCUGUCAAGCCUGGGAUACGUGUCAUGAAAGUCUGAUAAUUAAAUAGAAAGAAAUUUAACAUUAACAAAAUAAACUAAACGAAAAAAAAUUAAUUUAAAAGAAAAAAAGUAAAAAAAAAAUUCUAGGUUAACUCAUCAAACCAAAUUAACCCAUCAAAUCCGGGAUCCGUGUCAUGAAAGUCUGAUAACUAAAUAAAAAAAAUAACAUUAACAAACUAAAUUAAACAAAAAAAAUUCAUAAAAGAAAAAAAAACACAGAAAAAAAACAAAAAAAACAUAAAGGCAAAAAAAACAAAAACAAAAUUAAGUGAGAAUUACUGAUGUGCUUUGCCAAGCUUUGCAACAGAAAUCUCAAGACAUUUUAAAUGCUAUGCAUUUGCUGACUACCAUAAAGACUUUAAUUCAGAAGUUAAGAGAUGAUGGAUUGGAAACUCUUUUAGAACAAGUGACAUCAUUUUGUAAGCAUAAAAACAUUGAAGUUCCUGAUAUGGAUGCUUGUUUUUCUAGUGUGGGACGAUCUCGCUGUAAAACAAAAUCAAUAACAGUUGAGCAUCACUAUCGAGUUGAUAUAUUUAUAGCUAUCAUUGAUCAAUAGUUGCAAGAGCUAAAUAAUAGAUUCUAUGAGCAGGCGAUCGAGCUUCUUAAGUUGAGCAUAGCUUUAGAUCCUAAAAAUAACUAUAAAUUAUUCAGUGUUGAAGAUAUAUGCUAACUUGUUGACAAGUUCUAUCCUGAAGACUUUUCUGACCAAGAAAAAACUCAUUUGAGAUUUCAGUUGCAGCAUUAUGAGCUUGAUGUACCCAAUCAUCCAAAGUUAAAGAAUAUGUCAUCGAUUGCUGAUUUAUGUCAAGGACUGGUUGAAAUAGAAAAAUCAACAAUUUAUCUACUCAUUGAUAAGUUGAUUCGACUUAUUUUGACUCUUCCUGUUUCGACAGCAACUACUGCACGAGCUUUUUCAGCGAUGAAGAUUGUUAAAACAAGACUUCGCAAUCGGAUGGAGGAUGAUUUUCUUGCAAAUUAUUUGAUUGUCUAUAUAGAAAAAGAAAUUGCUGAAAGAUUCACAAUUGAUAUGAUAAUCGAUGAUUUCUACUCCAUGAAAGAAAGACAAAAACAAUUAAAAUAAAUAUGUAAGAAUCAUUCUUUAUUACUUUUUAUUUUAUUUAAAAGUUUUAUCAAACAUAAAUAAUGUAUCGCUUUAGCUAAUGUUUCUUAUAUAUUUUGUAUGUUUAUAUUUGAUAGGUACAAAAACCAACAAAAUUAAAGUGAUGAAUACAUUAUGAAGAUGAAAUUAACUUCAUAGCUUUGACUUAAUUUGAUAUUUGCUUUAAACAUCUUAUCUUAUACAAAAAUCAUAAUAUGUUUGUAAUUACUUUUUUGAAUAAAACUAAAUCAUGUCGUUUUUGUUUUUGUUUUUAUUUUUAUUUUUAUGUAAAGUAAAUUUUUAAAUAAAUUAUAUCUUUUAUUAUUUUAACCCCCAUUCAAAUAAUCCCAGCCCCUGACCGCAAUAACAAUCAAAAUAAAAUCUAAUUCUACCGGCUGCUAAGAAUACUAAAAUAGUGUAAAUUUUGACUUAAUUCAAUUAUUAGAAUUCGGGGCAGAUAACAGUGUUGAAGAAAAUGUCAGAAAAGUAGGGUAAACAGUACAAAUACCUUGGAUGAUGGUGACUAACGCCGUUUGUUUACGCGGGCGCGGGUGCGGUUGCCUUUUAAUUAAUAAAUAUCGGUAGUUGGAGACUUCUUGUUCUCGAAAAGAAAUAGUUAAUAGUGCCAAUAAUUAAUCUGCUCUCAACUUGCUACAAGCUGUCAUUACUCAUUACCAAAAUAUUAAAGAAACAAAUAUUUCCUAUUAGUAGAAAAGCGAUCUAAUAAAGCGAUUGUUCAGUUGACGUUAUUGAAUUGCUUUUUUAUAAAAAGUUAAUUUUUAAAUAUUUAUAGAUUAUUUUAUAUAUAAAUUUAAAAAAAAUCUUAAAAAAUUUAAAAAUAUAUUUUAAUAUAAUUAAAAAAAACAUUUGAAAAACAAUUAAUAGUAUAGUCUCAGGUCUCAACCACCCAAAAUAUACAUUUGAAAAACAUUUUAUAUACCUUGGAUUAAAUUGUGUUGUAGGUUCCACACCAUUUAAAGCUUGCAAAGAAGGAUUUAAAACACAAUCACGCUAAAGAUUUGCAAUCCAAUAUAAUAUGAAAUAAAACCCCAUUGCAUCACCGGACAUGUGAUCAAUAAUAUUAAAAUACUGUAAAUUUUGAUUUAAUUCAAUUAUUAGAGCUUGAGGCAGCGUGACAAUGUGAAAGAAAAUGUCAGAAAAUCUUGGAUGAUGGUGACCAUAUCAGUAAUUUGAGACAGCAAGUUCUCGAAAGGUAAUAGUUGAUGGUACCAAAAAUUAAACCAGCUCUCAACUCGCUACAAAUAGCUGCCAUGGCCUUUCGUUCUACAUUAUAUUUCUUUUUUUACUUUCAUGGAAUCCUCUUUGCCUUCCACCCCAAUCUUGGAUUCUGGUGAAAGUGCAGAGAGGAAAAAUGAAGCAAAAAAUUACAAUGAAGUAAUGUACACCCUUCCAAAAGUUAAAGGCUUGAGGGGGAAUGAUUAUUACCUGUACCAAGGCUUUUGGUACUCUUCCUUCUUCUUGGAAGGACUCAUGUCUGUUCAAGAGCACUUCAAUCCUCAAUCCACUGAUAUAUUUCUCACCAGUUCUCCAAAAACUGGCACAACUUGGCUUAAGGCCCUCGCUUUUGCUAUUCUUACACGAUCCCGUUUAAGUGGUUCAACAACUAGUUCUUUACUUACCAAGAUGCCACAUGACUGUGUUCCUUUUUUGGAAUAUCACCUUGCUCAAAACCCAAGUAAUCGGGACUUGGCAAUUCCCCUGCUAUCUACUCAUGUUCCUUACAGUUGUUUACCUAAAUCUAUCAUUUCUUCUAGUUGCAAGAUUAUUUACAUUUGCAGGGACGCAAAGGAUGCUUUUGUUUCUUUGUGGUGCUUUUUUCCGCGCAUCAAAUGUCGAAAAAUGUUGAACCUCUUCCUCUGGAAGAGGCCUUUGAGAUGUUUUGCAACGGAAUUUCAGUCUUGGGACCAUAUUGGGACCAUGUUUUAGGGUAUUGGAGAGCAAGAUUUGAGUUCCCUGAGAAGAUAUUGUUCUUGACAUACGAGGAAAUGAAGAUAGACACCGCUGCUCAUGUUAAGAAACUAGCUGAGUUCAUGGGUUGUUCUUUCACCUUCGAGGAAGAGGAGGAAGGGGAGGUGCAAAAGAUAAUAAGCAUGUGUAGUUUUGAGAAGUUGAGCAACUUUGAGGUGAAUAAAAAUGGGAAGCACCGUCCCGUCCGGACACAUCAAUUGCUAUUCAAAAUAGUUUAUACUUUAGGAAAGGUGAGAUAGGCGACUGGGCAAAUCACUUGACACCUGAGAUGGGAGCGCGUCUAGAUGACAUAAUGGAGCGGAAGCUCAAGGGUUCAGGCUUGAAGCUGCCCAGGUGACCGUGCCUGGGGUCCCAUU